rnacentral:rRNA from 1 species
GGUGUGCCUAAAGCAUGCAAGUCGAACGAACAAUGAAGCUCCUUCGGAGCUUCGGCGUUAGUGGCAGACGGGUGAGUAACACGUAGGAAUCUACCCAGUAGUGGGGAAUAGCCCUCCGAAAAGAGGGGUAAUACCGCAUACGCCCCUUGGGGGAAAGCAUUUAUGCGCUAUUGGAGGAGCCUGCGUCCUAUCAGCUAGUUGGUGAGGUAAUGGCUUACCAAGGCUAUGACGGGUAGCCGGUGUGAGAGCACGAUCGGCCACAAGGUUACUGAGACACGGAACCUACACCUACGGGUGGCAGCAACUAGGAAUCUUGCGCAAUGGGCGAAAGCCUGACGCAGCGACACCGCGUGUGGGAAGACGGCCUUCGGGUUGUAAACCACUGUGGCAGGGGAGCAAGCUCUGAGAGUACCCUGCUAGAAAGCACCUGCUAACUACGUGCCAGAAGCCUCGGUAAUACGUAGGGUGCGAGCGUUAUCCGGAGUUAUUGGGCGUAAAGCGUUACGUCGGCGGGUAAGUCAGUGAUAUGUCUAAGCCUGGGGCUCAACUCCAGACCGGCAUGUCAUACUGCUUAUCUUGAGGACACUAGAGGAAACUGGAACUCUCGGUGGAGGGGUGAAAUCCGUAGAUAUCGAGAGGAACGCCAAGGGUGAAGACAGGUUUCUGGGGUGUUCCUGACGCUCAUGUACGACAGCUUGGGUAGCAAAGCGGAUUAGAGACCCGUGUAGUCCAAGCCGUAAACGCUGGAUACUAGCUGUUCCUCCAUUUUGGGGGAGUGGCGUAAGCUAACGCGUUAAGUAUCCCGCCUGGGGAGUACGGCCGCAAGGCUAAAACUCAAAGGAAUUGACGGGGGAGCGCACAACCGGUGGAGCAUGUGGUUUAAUUCGAUACAAAGCGAAAGACCUUACCUGGACUUGACAUGUACCUGCACGCCCUGGGAAACCAGGGAAGCCUACGAGGGUGGUACACAGGUGCUGCAUGGCUGUCGUCAGCUCGUGUCGUGAGACGUCCGCUUAAGUGCGGUAACGAGCGCAACCCCUGUUCUGUGUUGCAUUUCACAGAAGACUGCCUUACUUUCAGUGAGGAGGAAGGAGGGGACGACGUCAAGUCAGCAUGGCCCUUACGUCCAGGGCUACACACAUCCUACAAUGGAGCCGACAACGGGUCGCGACGGAGCAAUCCUGAGCUAAUCCUAAUAAACGGCCCCUCAGUUCGGAUUGCGGGCUGCAGUUCGCCCGCAUGAAGCCGGAAUCGGUAGUAAUCGCAGGUCAGAAGACUCCGCGCAAUACGUUCUCGCUCCUUGUACACACUGCCCGUCAAGCCAGCAAAGUUGGCAGCUCCCGAAGGAGGAGACCGAAAC